rnacentral:ncRNA from 1 species
UUGAAAAGGGCUUGUCGAGGUUCCCCGCCUCAGGCGUGACGGCGGGGCUAAGACGGGAAGCCGGUGGUGUCCUUUCAGGGCAGAGUCCGGCGCUGCCCCCGCAACUGUAAGCGGCGAGUGGUGGUUCCAUUUCGUGUCACUGAGCUUCCGCAAGAGGCUCGGGAAGGCCGGAGCCGCUGCGAUGACCCGUAAGCCAGGAGACCUGCCUUCGGCGCCAUAACGUU